GAACGCUGGCGGCAGGCCUAACACAUGCAAGUCGAGCGGUAACAGAAAGAAAGCUUGCUUUCUUUGCUGACGAGCGGCGGACGGGUGAGUAAUGCCUGGGAAUAUGCCUUAGUGUGGGGGAUAACUAUUGGAAACGAUAGCUAAUACCGCAUAACGUCUUCGGACCAAAGAGGGGGACCUUCGGGCCUCUCGCGCUAAGAUUAGCCCAGGUGGGAUUAGCUAGUUGGUGAGGUAAAGGCUCACCAAGGCAACGAUCCCUAGCUGGUCUGAGAGGAUGAUCAGCCACACUGGAACUGAGACACGGUCCAGACUCCUACGGGAGGCAGCAGUGGGGAAUAUUGCACAAUGGGGGAAACCCUGAUGCAGCCAUGCCGCGUGUAUGAAGAAGGCCUUCGGGUUGUAAAGUACUUUCAGUCGUGAGGAAGGCAUUGUAGUUAAUAGCUGCAGUGCCUGACGUUAGCGACAGAAGAAGCACCGGCUAACUCCGUG
rnacentral:rRNA from 1 species